UUAUAAAUAACCGUUACAUGGCAAUACAAGUGAAUAUCUUUUUUCACCCAACUUUAUUUGAUAGACUUUGAUGAAGUUUUCUGUUAGACUGGUUUACUAGAACAAGCAUGAGAAG